UGUUUGCAGCAGUAUCGCUUUGUGAUUUCUGUGCAGGGUUCAUCCACUCGCAUCAUUGAACAAUGUCGGAAACGGCAGCAUUUUGUAUUUUAGGAAAUUAGAUUGAUUAUUUAAGAAAAAACACAAUUGGUAAUCAAGAUCUGUAUGCUAUUUCUGAGCAAAGAUGGAGCCAGGACGUGCAAUUAUUGCCAAGCGUUUGUUUUCCGGACAUAAUAAAUUAUAUGAUUAGUACACCUAGCCCAUACACCCUCGAAGAUCUGUGAUGCUACAAUUGGAAAUAUACAACCAGUUUAUCUGUGGAUGGUUUAGAGAGGUGAAGACGUGCAUCAUAAACAACCUUUGUCUCAUUCAAACUCGGUUUUGUCAGCUGGCUCGUUAGUUCUCCAAGACCCUACUCAGACAGACCCAGACCCAGCCGUAUUUGAAUACUACGUAAACGAUUCUGGACCUUGAAGCUUGACAGCCAUAUGUUAUUAUUAUGUAAUGUUCCUAAAUAUCGUUAUGAAAUUGUUAUAAGUUUGUGCCAUUUUUGUUAAUGGGGUUCUUUUUUUUAGUUGUGUUUUUUAAAUUUAGAAUAAAAAUAUAUAGUAUAUUUAUUUUUAAUGUAUAAUUAUAAUGUAUAAAUGUAUCAUAUGUUAACCACAUUUUAAUAAAGUAUAUUAA